rnacentral:siRNA from 1 species
GGAGGCGCAGCGGGCAUUA